GAUGAACGCUGGCGGCGUGUCUAAUACAUGCAAGUCGAGCGAACAGAUGAGGAGCUUGCUCCUCUGACGUUAGCGGCGGACGGGUGAGUAACACGUGGAUAACCUACCUAUAAGACUGGGAUAACUUCGGGAAACCGGAGCUAAUACCGGAUAAUAUAUUGAACCGCAUGGUUCAAUAGUGAAAGACGGUUUUGCUGUCACUUAUAGAUGGAUCCGCGCCGCAUUAGCUAGUUGGUAAGGUAACGGCUUACCAAGGCAACGAUGCGUAGCCGACCUGAGAGGGUGAUCGGCCACACUGGAACGGAGACACGGUCCAGACUCCUACGGGAGGCAGCAGUAGGGAAUCUUCCGCAAUGGGCGAAAGCCUGACGGAGCAACGCCGCGUGAGUGAUGAAGGUCUUCGGAUCGUAAAACUCUGUUAUUAGGGAAGAACAAAUGUGUAAGUAACUGUGCACGUCUUGACGGUACCUAAUCAGAAAGCCACGGCUAACUACGUG
rnacentral:rRNA from 1 species